GUGGGGAAUUUUGGACAAUGGGCGCAAGCCUGAUCCAGCCAUGCCGCGUGUGUGAAGAAGGUCUUCGGAUUGUAAAGCACUUUAAGUUGGGAGGAAGGGCAGUAAGUUAAUACCUUGCUGUUUUGACGUUACCAACAGAAUAAGCACCGGCUAACUUCGUGCCAGCAGCCGCGGUAAUACGAAGGGUGCAAGCGUUAAUCGGAAUUACUGGGCGUAAAGCGCGCGUAGGUGGUUUUGUAAGUUGGAGGUGAAAUCCCCGGGCUCAACCUGGGAACUGCCUCCAAAACUGCAUGACUAGAGUACGGUAGAGGGUAGUGGAAUUUCCUGUGUAGCGGUGAAAUGCGUAGAUAUAGGAAGGAACACCAGUGGCGAAGGCGACUACCUGGACUGAUACUGACACUGAGGUGCGAAAGCGUGGGGAGCAAACAGGAUUAGAAACCCUUGUAGUCC
rnacentral:rRNA from 1 species